GGUGAGGUGUCCGAGUGGUNGAAGGAGCACGCCUGGAAAGCGUGUAGAGGUUAACACUUCUCGAGGGUUCGAAUCCCUCCCUCACCGCCA
rnacentral:tRNA from 1 species